GCCCAGCGGAACGCCCGGAUGAUCUCCUAAAGCGGGUGUCGCAGGUUCGAAUCCUGCCGGGGGCACCA
rnacentral:tRNA from 1 species